AUGCUUGCAAGUAAUCAGCUUAAAGUAUUUUGAGUGUAUUUUCUUGUCUAGCAAGUUAGCGUCGAUUUUAAUUAUCUUAAAAUAACUAGGGGAAUGUAACUCCCUCGGGAGCGUUAUAGCCCUUGGUAAGAUGAGAUGAUUGAGAUCGAGGAUUGCAGCGAAUGCUCAAUAGGGCUAACAACUUAAUCUCUGAAUGGCCCCUGGUUAUGAACAGCUUGCUGAUUAUGAUUAGGUUAGCUUAUCAAAAGGUCGAGAUUGUUUAAA
rnacentral:rRNA from 1 species